UGCAUGCGCAGCUACACAUGCAGUCGAGCGGUAACAGAUCCAGCUUGCUGGAUGCUGACGAGCGGCGGACGGGUGAGUAAUGCAUAGGAAUCUGCCCGAUAGUGGGGGAUAACCUGGGGAAACCCAGGCUAAUACCGCAUACGUCCUACGGGAGAAAGGGGGCUUCGGCUCCCGCUAUCGGAUGAGCCUAUGUCGGAUUAGCUAGUUGGUGAGGUAACGGCUCACCAAGGCCACGAUCCGUAGCUGGUCUGAGAGGAUGAUCAGCCACAUCGGGACUGAGACACGGCCCGAACUCCUACGGGAGGCAGCAGUGGGGAAUAUUGGACAAUGGGGGGAACCCUGAUCCAGCCAUGCCGCGUGUGUGAAGAAGGCCCUCGGGUUGUAAAGCACUUUCAGCGAGGAAGAACGCCUAGCGGUUAAUACCCGCUAGGAAAGACAUCACUCGCAGAAGAAGCACCGGCUAACUCCGUGCCAGCAGCCGCGGUAAUACGGAGGGUGCAAGCGUUAAUCGGAAUUACUGGGCGUAAAGCGCGCGUAGGUGGCUUGAUAAGCCGGUUGUGAAAGCCCCGGGCUCAACCUGGGAACGGCAUCCGGAACUGUCAAGCUAGAGUGCAGGAGAGGAAGGUAGAAUUCCCGGUGUAGCGGUGAAAUGCGUAGAGAUCGGGAGGAAUACCAGUGGCGAAGGCGGCCUUCUGGACUGACACUGACACUGAGGUGCGAAAGCGUGGGUAGCAAACAGGAUUAGUCCCCGG
rnacentral:rRNA from 1 species